rnacentral:rRNA from 1 species
GAUGAACGCUGGCGGCGUGCCUAAUACAUGCAAGUCGAGCGAACGGACGAGAAGCUUGCUUCUCUGAUGUUAGCGGCGGACGGGUGAGUAACACGUGGAUAACCUACCUAUAAGACUGGGAUAACUUCGGGAAACCGGAGCUAAUACCGGAUAAUAUUUUGAACCGCAUGGUUCAAAAGUGAAAGACGGUCUUGCUGUCACUUAUAGAUGGAUCCGCGCUGCAUUAGCUAGUUGGUAAGGUAACGGCUUACCAAGGCAACGAUGCAUAGCCGACCUGAGAGGGUGAUCGGCCACACUGGAACUGAGACACGGUCCAGACUCCUACGGGAGGCAGCAGUAGGGAAUCUUCCGCAAUGGGCGAAAGCCUGACGGAGCAACGCCGCGUGAGUGAUGAAGGUCUUCGGAUCGUAAAACUCUGUUAUUAGGGAAGAACAUAUGUGUAAGUAACUGUGCACAUCUUGACGGUACCUAAUCAGAAAGCCACGGCUAACUACGUGCCAGCAGCCGCGGUAAUACGUAGGUGGCAAGCGUUAUCCGGAAUUAUUGGGCGUAAAGCGCGCGUAGGCGGUUUUUUAAGUCUGAUGUGAAAGCCCACGGCUCAACCGUGGAGGGUCAUUGGAAACUGGAAAACUUGAGUGCAGAAGAGGAAAGUGGAAUUCCAUGUGUAGCGGUGAAAUGCGCAGAGAUAUGGAGGAACACCAGUGGCGAAGGCGACUUUCUGGUCUGUAACUGACGCUGAUGUGCGAAAGCGUGGGGAUCAAACAGGAUUAGAUACCCUGGUAGUCCACGCCGUAAACGAUGAGUGCUAAGUGUUAGGGGGUUUCCGCCCCUUAGUGCUGCAGCUAACGCAUUAAGCACUCCGCCUGGGGAGUACGACCGCAAGGUUGAAACUCAAAGGAAUUGACGGGGACCCGCACAAGCGGUGGAGCAUGUGGUUUAAUUCGAAGCAACGCGAAGAACCUUACCAAAUCUUGACAUCCUUUGACAACUCUAGGGAGCCUUCCCCUUCGGGGGACAAAGUGACAGGUGGUGCAUGGUUGUCGUCAGCUCGUGUCGUGAGAUGUUGGGUUAAGUCCCGCAACGAGCGCAACCCUUAAGCUUAGUUGCCAUCAUUAAGUUGGGCACUCUAAGUUGACUGCCGGUGACAAACCGGAGGAAGGUGGGGAUGACGUCAAAUCAUCAUGCCCCUUAUGAUUUGGGCUACACACGUGCUACAAUGGACAAUACAAAGGGCAGCGAAACCGCGAGGUCAAGCAAAUCCCAUAAAGUUGUUCUCAGUUCGGAUUGUAGUCUGCAACUCGACUACGUGAAGCUGGAAUCGCUAGUAAUCGUAGAUCAGCAUGCUACGGUGAAUACGUUCCCGGGUCU